rnacentral:rRNA from 1 species
UACGUAGGAGGCGAGCGUUGUCCGGAAUUACUGGGCGUAAAGCGCGUGUAGGCGGUCUGAAUAGUCUGCUGUGAAAGCGCCUGGCUUAACCGGGCGAGGUCGGCGGAAACUCUCAGACUGGAGGCCGGUAAAGAGGGGUGGAAUUCCCGGUGUAGUGGUGAAAUGCGUAGAGAUCGGGAGGAACACCUGUGGCGAAGGCGGCCCCCUGGGCCGCGCCUGACGCUGAGACGCGAAGGCUAGGGGAGCGAACGGG